CUCGCGACCCCACUGCGCAUGCGCGCCGCCCGGCGGACCGUCCCGCCUUAUUCACUGCGCAUGCGCACCGCGACGCCGCGCGACUGCCCCACAGUUCCGUUUUACUGCGCAUGAGCGAUAGCGCGCCCCGCUCGCUGCGCAUGCGCACCACUGCAAAACGCCUCCGUCCGUCCCCCCGCAGUCACUUAACAACGCCCGCCCCGCUUUCUUAAAGGAGCCGCGCUAUAAUUUCUGGGGAGGGAAGAAAAGACGCAAAGCGCUUUAUUUCUCUUUGGUCCUUCGGGUGUGGGGCCGGGGGAGAAGGGAGGGGGGACACAAAGUGCUUUCCUGCUCGUUCUUCCGCCUACAGGUGUGGGGUGGGGGUUACGGUGGGGCUGGGGGCCGCUGUGGGGCUGGAGGCUGCCGUGGGGUUGGGGGCCGCAGUGGGGUUGGAGGCUGCAGCCCGGUCCCGCUCGUCCCACAGCGUGAGGCCGUCGCAGGUGCAGAGCUGUUUGGGGUUCUGGAAGAGCCCAGCCGCCCGCGCCACCACUCCGCAGGCCAACCUGGGCCCCGAGUUCCCCGUCAGCUUGGACAGCGCGUGGCCGCCCCGGCCCAGGUCGUCCUCACCCGCAUCCACCACCACUGAGCGCCCAAUGAUGUCCCACACCUUCAGCCGUGUGUCCUCCAUACGGAACGCUGCUCGGCCCUCAGCAUCGGCCCACACGUUGCCCAGAUCCCCGGCGUGCCGGUGCUCGUCCUGCGGCCCCCCGUGGCACUCCCCGUCAGGGUUGUAGUGGUCCCCGCAGCUCUCACAUCCCUCAGACGUGUCCCCAAACUCGUGCACGUGCAGCCCAUGUGGGCCCGGCCGCAGCCCAUCGAUGACCCCAUCCACCACGCACAGCUCCGGGGACACCUGCAGGAACCGCACCAAACCCCGCACACCGCCGGACAGCGCCGCCACCGCCGCCGUCGUGUCACCCCCUCGGGGACCCCCAGGGGACCCCGCAGGGACCCCCAUACCCCGCAGCACCGCGCGCCGCCCGCUGGAUUCCAGCAGCUCCUUCACACGCUCUGCGCCCACCUCGGCCUCCAGCAGCACCGUCUGAGUCUCGGGGCGCAGCUCCAGCAGCCGCACGCCUGGGGCGCCCUCCAGCGCUGCCCGCACGGCUUCGGCGCAGCUCUCGCAGCUCAUCUGCACUGCGAACUCCAGCGUGCAGCUCGACCCCCCGGACCCCGCCAUGACGGCGGACUCUGAACUCCGCGCGCUGCGCAACGCCGCGGCGCCACUACCGGCGCAGCGCAUUGGCGACACUUCCGGCGCAGAACUAAAUCGUCACAUCCGAUGCGCCGAUGUGACCACUUCCGGCGCAGCUGUUGGCAUAGAAAUAACCUCAGGGAACGCCGCGGUAGCGGCGCGGAUUCAAACGUCACUUCCGGCGCGCCGGUCGCCAUGGAAACAGAGACGCUGUAGGUCUCGUGGAGCGCGAUUCGGAG
rnacentral:lncRNA from 1 species